UACGUAGGUGACAAGCGUUGUCCGGAUUUACUGGGUUUAAAGGGUGCGUAGGCGGGCAGGUAAGUCAGUGGUGAAAUCUUCGAGCUUAACUCGGAAACUGCCAUUGAUACUAUCUGUCUUGAAUUUCCUGGAGGUAAGCGGAAUAUGUCAUGUAGCGGUGAAAUGCUUAGAUAUGACAUAGAACACCAAUUGCGAAGGCAGCUUACUACGGGAAUAUUGACACUGAGGCACGAAAGCGUGGGGAUCAAACAGG
rnacentral:rRNA from 1 species